AUGGUGGUGGCAAAUUCAAGCCCUGUCAACCCGUGGUGUUCUUUGACGUCAGCACUGGUGAUCAGAAAAUUGGCCACAUGAAGAUCAAGCUCUUUGCAGACUUUGUGCCUAAGACGGCUGAAAACUUUAGGCAGUUCUGCACUGGAGGAUUCAGAAAAGAUGGGGUUCCAAUAGGAUACAAAGGGAGUAACUUCCACAGGGUCAUAAAGGAUUUCAUGAUUCAGAGUAGAGAUUUUGUUAAUGGAGAUGGUGCUGGAGUCGCCAGUAUUUACCGGGGGCCAUUUGCGGAUGAAAAUUUUAAACUUAGACACUCAGCUCCAGGCUUACUUUCCUUGGCAAACAGUGGUCCUAGCACAAAUGGCUGUCAGUUCUUUAUCACCUGCUCUAAGUGUGAUUGGCUGGACGGGAAGCAUGUAGUGUUUGGAAAAAUCACUGAUGGACUUCUAGCGAUGAGAAAGAUUGAGAAUGUUCCCACAGGCCCCAACAAUAAGCCUAAGCUGCCUGUGGUGAUCUCACAGUGUGGAGAGAUGUAGUCCAGACCAAGACUGAAUCA